rnacentral:rRNA from 1 species
GAUGAACGCUGGCGGCGUGCUUAACACAUGCAAGUCGAACGGAAAGGCCCUGCUUUUGUGGGGUGCUCGAGGGGAAAACGGGUGUGUAACACGAGAGUACCCUGCCCUUGACUGUGGUAAAACUUCAGGAAACUGGGGCUAAUACCGGAUAGGAGCUCCUGCUGCAGGGUGGGGGUUGGAAAUUUUCGGCGGUUGGGGAUGGACUCGCGGCUUCUGAGCUUGUUGGUGGGGUAGUGGCUCACCAAGGCUUUGACGGGUAGCCGGCCUGAGAGGGUGACCGGCCACACUGGGACUGAGAGACGGCCCAGACUCCUACGGGAGGCAGCAGUGGGGAAUAUUGCACAAUGGGCGGAAGCCUGAUGCAGCGACGCCGCGUGCGGGAUGACGGCCUUCGGGUUGUAAACCGCUUUCGGCUGUGACGAAGCGUGAGUGACGGUAAUUGGUAAAGAAGCACCGGCUAACUACGUG